UACGGAGGGGGCGAGCGUUGUUCGGAAUCAUUGGGCGUAAAGCGCGUGGAGGCGGCUUGGCAAGUCGGGUGUGAAAUCCCGGGGCCCAACCCCGGAACUGCAUUCGAAACUGCCUCGCUAGAGUCCCGGAGAGGAAGGCGGAAUUCCCGGUGUAGAGGUGAAAUUCGUAGAUAUCGGGAGGAACACCAGCGGCGAAGGCGGCCUUCUGGACGGUGACUGACGAUGAGACGCGAAAGCGUGGGGAGCAAACAGG
rnacentral:rRNA from 1 species